UACGUAGGGUGCAAGCGUUAAUCGGAAUUACUGGGCGUAAAGCGUGCGCAGGCGGCUUUGCAAGACAGAUGUGAAAUCCCCGGGCUUAACCCGGGAGCUGCCUCCGAUACGGCAUGGCUUGAGUCCGGGAGAGGGGAGCAGAAUUCCCAGUGUAGCGGUGAAAUGCGUAGAUAUUGGGAGGAAUACCGGUGGCGAAGGCGGCUCCCUGGACCGGUACUGACGCUGAGGCGCGAAAGCGUGGGUAGCAAACAGG
rnacentral:rRNA from 1 species